GUCUGUGUCUGUGCGCGCUCCUGUCCAGUCCUGUGGGAGUUGCUGGGGUACUUUGGGAUAUCCCCUUCCUGCUACUUUAUUACCCCGCUCCGAAGACAGCUAUGCGAGGAGGGCAGGCGCAUGGGCUAAACACUGGGCGAAACUCUCCCAACUCACUCUCUCUGAACGCGAACAUCGACUCGAGGACUGUGGAAGUUGUCAGGCUAUCCGCUCUCUGCCGCUCACUUCAACUAUACCGCUACCGGACGCCCCCGUGCGAGACUUCACCUCUGCCUGUCACACGGCUCCCGCCGCCGGGGACUGGAAUUUACAGGAGGCUGGAGUAGGCUACUAAAAGUGGAGUCAUCAUAUACCGUAGUUCAUAUUUUCUUUUGUUUCACGCGCUCUGUCCGGAGCAGCGUCUGUCAUCUCCCGAACUGGAUU
ensembl:lncRNA